rnacentral:rRNA from 1 species
UGGCGAACGGGUGAGUAACGCGUGAGGAACCUGCCUCAAAGAGGGGGACAACAGUUGGAAACGACUGCUAAUACCGCAUAAGCCCACGACCCGGCAUCGGGUAGAGGGAAAAGGAGCAAUCCGCUUUGAGAUGGCCUCGCGUCCGAUUAGCCAGUUGGUGAGGUAAUGGCCCACCAAGGCGACGAUCGGUAGCCGGCCUGAGAGGGUGAACGGCCACAUUGGGACUGAGACACGGCCCAA